rnacentral:rRNA from 1 species
CACGUAGGAGGCGAGCGUUAUCCGGAUUUACUGGGCGUAAAGCGCGUGCAGGCGGUUUGGUGAGUUGGAUGUGAAAGCUCCUGGCUUAACUGGGAGAGGUCGUUCAAUACUGCCAGACUUGAGAGUGGUAGAGGGAGGUGGAAUUCCGGGUGUAGUGGUGAAAUGCGUAGAUAUCCGGAGGAACACCAGUGGCGAAAGCGGCCUCCUGGACCAUUUCUGACGCUCAGACGCGAAAGCUAGGGUAGCAAACGGG